UGGGGAAUUUUGGACAAUGGGGGCAACCCUGAUCCAGCCAUGCCGCGUGAGUGAAGAAGGCCUUCGGGUUGUAAAGCUCUUUCGGCGGGGAAGAAAUGGCAACGGCUAAUAUCCGUUGUUGAUGACGGUACCCGCAUAAGAAGCACCGGCUAACUACGUG
rnacentral:rRNA from 1 species